rnacentral:snRNA from 1 species
GUGCUCACUUCAGCAGCACAUAUACUAAAAUUGGAAUGAUACAGAGAAAAGUAGCAUGGCCAGUGGAACAAAAAAUUAAAAAAAAAACCUUCAUUCU